rnacentral:rRNA from 2 species
ACUCCUACGGGAGGCAGCAGUGCGGAAUUUUAGAUAAUGGAGGGAACUCUGAUCUAGCGACGCCGCGUGCAGGAAGAAGGUCUUCGGAUUGUAAACUGCUGUGGUAAGGGAAAAAUGCUAUGUAGAGUGGAAAGCUACAUAGAGGGAUGGUACCUUACUAGAAAGCCCCGGCUAACUACGUGCCAGCAGCCGCGGUAAU